rnacentral:ncRNA from 13 species
GAUAAAAUAAAUAUAAAUCGUAUAUGAUGGAUAUCUAGGUAACUAAAGGCGAUGAAAGACGCUAAUAUGCGAUAAUCUAUAAUAGAUUUCUUAAUGGGGUAACCUACUAAUAUAUUAUAUUAGUUUUUUUUUUAAAAGCAAACUGGGUGAACUGAAACAUCUAAGUAACCCAAGGAAAAUAAAUCAAAAUGAGAUUCUCUUAGUAGUGGCGAACGAAAAGGGAAAAGCCCAAAAAAUGAUUUUUUUUAAUAAAAAUAAUUUUGAAUAAUUUAUAUUAAAAGUAAUAAUCUUUUUUUUAUAUACAAAAAAAAUCAUAUAUAUGAGUAAAUUAAGACACGUGAAAUCUUAAUUGAAAAAAGGGGGACCAUCCUCUAAGGCUAAAUACUAUUAGUUAACCGAUAGUGAACUAGUACCGUGAGGGAAAGAUGAAAUAGAACCUUUAAUUAGGAGUGAAAUAGAACUUGAAAUUAUAUACGUAAAAGCAGUAGGAGCCGAAAGGUGACUAUGUACCUUUUGUAUAAUGGGUCAGCGACUUAUUAAUAUUAGCAAGCUUAACAUUUUUUGGUAGGCGCAGAGAAAUCUAGUCUUAAUAGGGCGAAAGUUAAUAUUAAUAGACCCGAAACCGGGCGAUCUAUCCAUGAACAGGUUGAAGGUAAAAUAAUAUUUACUGAAGGACCGAACCGGUAUCUGUUGCAAAAGAUUCGGAUGAUUUGUGGAUAGGGGUGAAAGGCUAAUCAAGCUCGGAGAUAGCUGGUUCUCCUCGAAAGCUAUUUAGGUAGCGCCUUAUAUAUAAUUAAUAGGGGUAAAGCACUGUAUUGAAUAAGCUUAUGCUGAAUCAUAACAAACUAUGAAUACUAUUAAUUAAAUUAUAGGAGACACACUUAGGGUGCUAACAUCCUAAGUGGAAAGGGAAACAACCCAGAUCAUAAAUUAAGGUCCCUAAAUCUUAUUUAAGUGGAAAAUGAUGUUUUAAAUCUAUAACAAUCAAAAGGUGGGCUUAGAAGCAGCCAUCCUUUAAAGAAAGCGUAAUAGCUCAUUGAUCUAGAUGUUUAAUACAAAAAAUUUAACGGGGCUAAAAUAAGUACCGAAAUUAUGAACAUUAUUUUUGUGGUAGAGGAGCGUUGUGUAGAUCAAAGAAUAAUUAUAAAAAUAUAAUUUGGAGAUAUCACAAGUGCGAAUGCUGAUAUGAGUAACAAUAAGAAAUGUGAAAAUCAUUUCCGCUGAAAAACUAAGGUUUUCUAUUCAACGAUCAUCGUAAUAGAGUUAGUCGUGACCUAAAAUGAGGUUGAAAAACAUAGUUGAUGGGAAAAAAAUUAAUAUUUUUUUACCAUUAAUAAUAAUGAAGAAAUAUAGUAAUUUGUUAUUUUAAUCCUAAUAAAAGAUAAAUUAGGUUUAAUAUUAAAAUAAUUAACAAUCAAGUAAAUCUAAUUGUUUAUAUUAAAUUAUAUAAAUAAAAUUAAAAAAUUAUAUUACCAAGAAAAAUUUCUAAAUUAUAUUAUUAAUGCACGUACCGCAAACCGACACAGGUAGUUAAGUAGAAUAUACUAAAGCGUUUGAGAAAAUCUAGGUGAAGGAACUAGGCAAAAUAGUAUCGUAACUUUUGGAGAAGAUACACUAGAUUAUUUAAAAUUUUUUUUAAUUUUAAAGAACUAGUCUAAGAGAUAAGGUGGCUGCAACUGUUUAUUAAAAACACAGCACUCUGCUAACGUGUAAACGGAUGUAUAGGGUGUGACGCCUGCCCGGUGUUGGUAGGUUAAUUGAUUAUGUUAAUUUAAAAAUAAAGCAUUUGAUAAAAGCCCCAAUAAACGGCGGCCGUAACUAUAACGGUCCUAAGGUAGCGAAAUUCCUUGUCGGGUAAGUUCCGACCUGCACGAAUGGCGUAAUGAUGGCCACGCUGUCUCCAUCUAGAACUCAGUGAAAUUGAAUUUGCUGUGAAGAUGCAGUGUAUCUACGGCUAGACGGAAAGACCCCGUGAACCUUUACUAUAGUUUCGCAUUGAAUAUUAAUUAUUUUUGUGUAGGAUAACUGGGAGAUAAUGAUCUAUAAAUGCAAGUUUAUAAGUAAUCAACCUUGAAAUACCAGUCUAAAAUAAUUUAUAUUCUAAUUUAAUUUUGUAAACCAAUUUAAAAAAAUUGCGUAAUGGGUAGUUUGACUGGGGCGGUCUCCUCCUAAAAAGUAACGGAGGAGUACAAAGGUAUUCUCAAUACGUUUGGAAAUCGUAUGUUGAGUGUAAGAGCAAAAGAAUGCUUAACUGUAAGAUAGACAUAUCAAACAGAUACGAAAGUAGGUUCUAGUGAUCCGAUAAUUCUGAAUGGAAAGGUUAUCGCUCAACGAAUAAAAGGUACUCCGGGGAUAACAGGCUAAUAUUGCCCAAGAGUUCAUAUCGACGGCAAUGUUUGGCACCUCGAUGUCGGCUCAUCACAUCCUGGAGCUGAAGUUGGUUCCAAGGGUAUGGCUGUUCGCCAUUUAAAGUGGUACGCGAGCUGGGUUUAGAACGUCGUGAGACAGUUCGGUCCCUAUCUACCGUAGAUGAAGAGAUUUUGAGAAAUUCUGUCUUUAGUACGAGAGGACCAAGAUGGUUAAACCACUGGUGUUCCGGUUGUUAUAUCAAUAGCAUAGUCGGUUAACUAAGUUUAAAAUGAUAACUACUGAAAGCAUAUAAGUAGGAAGCAUAUUUCAAAAAUAAAUCUCCAAAGAAUUUGUAGUUCUUCUUAAGAUAACUUAAAGAAUAUAAGUUUGAUAGAUGUUAUGUGUAAAAAUAGCAAUAUUUUAGCUAAAACAUACUAAUUUUAUCGUGAGAAUUUUAUCUA